GCCUACCAUGGUGGUAACGGGUAACGGGGAAUUAGGGUUCGAUUCCGGAGAGGGAGCCUGAGAAACGGCUACCACAUCCAAGGAAGGCAGCAGGCGCGCAAAUUACCCAAUCCCAACACGGGGAGGUAGUGACAAUAAAUAACAAUACGGGGUUCUUUAGGAUCUCGUAAUUGGAAUGAGUACAAUUUAAAUCUCUUAACGAGCAACAAUUGGAGGGCAAGUCUGGUGCCAGCAGCCGCGGUAAUUCCAGCUCCAAUAGCGUAUAUUAAAGUUGUUGCAGUUAAAAAGCUCGUAGUUGAAUUUCGGGGUCAGUAGGUCGGUCGUGCCACUGGUAUGAACUGGUUUUACUGAUUCCUCCCUCUUGAAGAACUGUAAUGCCAUUAAUUUGGUGUUGCAGGGAAUCAGGACUGUUACUUUGAAAAAAUUAGAGUGUUUAAAGCAGGCUUUAGCUUGAAUACAUUAGCAUGGAAUAAUGAAAUAGGACGUUUGAUCCUAUUUUGUUGGUUUCUAGGAUUGACGUAAUGAUUAAUAGGGAUAGUUGGGGGCAUUAGUAUUCAAUUGUCAGAGGUGAAAUUCUUGGAUUUAUUGAAGACUAACUACUGCGAAAGCAUUUGCCAAGGAUGUUUUCAUUAAUCAAGAACGAAAGUUAGGGGAUCGAAGACGAUCAGAUACCGUCGUA
rnacentral:rRNA from 1 species